UACGUAGGGUGCAAGCGUUACUCGGAAUUACUGGGCGUAAAGCGUGCGCAGGCGGUUGUGCCAGACAGAUGUGAAAUCCCCGGGCUCAACCUGGGAACUGCAUUUGUGACUGCAUGGCUAGAGUACGGUAGAGGGGGAUGGAAUUCCGCGUGUAGCAGUGAAAUGCGUAGAUAUGCGGAGGAACACCGAUGGCGAAGGCAAUCCUCUGGACCUGUACUGACGCUCAUGCACGAAAGCGUGGGGAGCAAACAGG
rnacentral:rRNA from 1 species